rnacentral:rRNA from 1 species
GAUGAACGCUAGCUACAGGCUUAACACAUGCAAGUCGAGGGACAGCGGUAUCGAAAGCUUGCUUUCGGUAGCCGGCGACCGGCGCACGGGUGAGUAACGCGUAUCGAACCUGCCUCAUACUCGGGAAUAGCCUUGCGAAAGUAAGAUUAAUGCCCGGUGUUUUCAGAGUCCCGCAUGAGGCUUUGAACAAAGAUUUAUCGGUAUGAGAUGGCGAUGCGUCCCAUUAGCUUGUUGGCGGGUAACGGCCCACCAAGGCAUCGAUGGGUAGGGGUUCUGAGAGGAAGGUCCCCCACAUUGGAACUGAGACACGGUCCAAACUCCUACGGGAGGCAGCAGUGAGGAAUAUUGGUCAAUGGGCGGAAGCCUGAACCAGCCAAGUAGCGUGCAGGAAGACGGCCCUCCGGGUUGUAAACUGCUUUUAGUUGGGAAUAAAACGGGGCUCGUGAGCCCCCUUGCAUGUACCAUCAGAAAAAGGACCGGCUAAUUCCGUGCCAGCCGCCGCGGUAA